UGGCGAACGGGUGAGUAACACGUGAGUAACCUGCCCUCUUCUUUGGGAUAACGCCCGGAAACGGGUGCUAAUACUGGAUAUUCACUGAUCUUCGCAUGGGGGUUGGUGGAAAGGUUUUUUCUGGUGGGGGAUGGGCUCGCGGCCUAUCAGCUUGUUGGUGGGGUGAUGGCCUACCAAGGCUUUGACGGGUAGCCGGCCUGAGAGGGUGACCGGUCACAUUGGGACUGAGAUACGGCCCAGACUCCUACGGGAGGCAGCAGUGGGGAAUAUUGCACAAUGGGCGAAAGCCUGAUGCAGCGACGCCGCGUGAGGGAUGGAGGCCUUCGGGUUGUAAACCUCUUUCGCUCAUGGUCAAGCCGCAACGCUGGUUGUGGUGAGGGUAGUGGGUAAAGAAGCGCCGGCUAACUACGUGCCAGCAGCCGCGGUAAUACGUAGGGCGCGAGCGUUGUCCGGAAUUAUUGGGCGUAAAGGGCUUGUAGGCGGUUGGUCGCGUCUGCCGUGAAAUCCUCUGGCUUAACUGGGGGCGUGCGGUGGGUACGGGCUGACUUGAGUGCGGUAGGGGAGGCUGGAACUCCUGGUGUAGCGGUGGAUGCGCAGAUAUCAGG
rnacentral:rRNA from 1 species